UUAAGAAAGAGCAAAAUACAGGUGGAAAUCUGUUAGUAAAAAUAAAUCUGUUGUUCUUUAGGAGCUAGGUUUUUCAGUGUAGUACAGCACAGAGUAUCAUAUGGCUACAUUUGUCCAUCAGUGCCUUAGGAAAGAAACUAAAAAGCCAUAAUUUAAUCCACUUCCCCCUUGCUUUUAGGUCUCAUUUGAUACUGCCAAUCGCAUACAUCAAUCCUACCACAGUUGCAUAGAUCAAGGAACCAAGACAGCUGCUUGCAUCUUACAUCCUUUCUUCGAAGAAGACAAAAACACACUUUCAAAUCACGUAAAUAGACACAUAAAUUUAAAAGGUGAAACUAUGGUCUGACUCUGACAUGUUCAAGCUUAACGGAAAAGAGAAUGGAUGUGGCAG
rnacentral:lncRNA from 12 species